rnacentral:rRNA from 1 species
CCCUUAGAUGUUCUGGGCUGCACGCGCGCUACACUGAAGCGUUCAACGAGUAUUUCACCUUGCCCGGGAGGGUUGGGUAAUCUUUUUAAAACGCUUCGUGAUGGGGAUAGAAGCUUGCAAUUAUCCUUCUUGAACGAGGAAUACCUUGUAAGCGUGAGUCAUCAUCUCACGCUGAAUACGUCCCAGCCCUUUGUACACACCGCCCGUCGCUCCUACCGAUUGAGUGUUCCGGUGAGGCUUUGGGAGAAUGGCCUCAACAUGAGUUUAUCGUGUUUUGCCGUUUGAACUUAGUCAAACCUUAUCACUUAGAGGAAGGAGAAGUCGUAACA